rnacentral:rRNA from 1 species
UACAGCGAUCAUAUCACCUUGACAAAGCCUGAUCUCAUCUGAUCCCAGAAACUAAGCAGGGUCAGACCUGGUUAAUACUGGAAUGGGGGACCAUUGGGAGUACCAGGUGUACUAGUGC